UACGUAGGGAGCAAGCGUUGUCCGGAUUUACUGGGUGUAAAGGGUGCGUAGGCGGCUAACCAAGUCAGGCGUGAAAUGCAGAGGCUUAACUUCUGAACUGCGCUAGAAACUGGAUAGCUUGAGUGAAGCAGAGGUAGGCGGAAUUCCCGGUGUAGCGGUGAAAUGCGUAGAGAUCGGGAGGAACACCAGUGGCGAAGGCGGCCUACUGGGCUUUAACUGACGCUGAGGCACGAAAGCGUGGGUAGCAAAC
rnacentral:rRNA from 1 species